rnacentral:rRNA from 1 species
AAUCAACGCUGGCGGCGUGCCUCAGACAUGCAAGUCGAACGAUUAAAGCUCUCUUCGGAGAGUGCAUAGAGUGGCGCACGGGUGAGUAACACGUAAGUAAUCUACCUUCGAGUGGGGAAUAACGUCCGGAAACGGACGCUAAUACCGCAUAAUGCAGCGGCAUCGCAAGAUGACAGUUGUUAAAGGAGCAAUUCGCUUGAAGAGGAGCUUGCGGCAGAUUAGCUAGUUGGUAAGGUAAUGGCUUACCAAGGCUACGAUCUGUAACCGGUCUAAGAGGACGGUCGGUCACACUGACACUGAAUAACGGGUCAGACUCCUACGGGAGGCAGCAGUCGGGAAUUUUGGGCAAUGGGCGAAAGCCUGACCCAGCAACGCCGCGUGAAGGAUGAAGUAUUUCGGUAUGUAAACUUCGAAAGAAUAGGAAGAAUUAAUGACGGUACUAUUUAUAAGGUCCGGCUAACUACGUGCCAGCAGCCG